rnacentral:rRNA from 1 species
AGAGUUUGAUCCUGGCUCAGAUUGAACGCUGGCGGCGUGCCUAACACAUGCAAGUCGAGCGGUAACAGGUGUAGCAAUACAUGCUGACGAGCGGCGAACGGGUGAGUAAUGCUUCGGAAUCUACCCUAUGGUGGGGAAUAACCAGCCGAAAGGUUGGCUAAUACCGCAUACGUCCUACGGGAGAAAGCAGGGGAUCGUAAGACCUUGCACCGAUGGAUGAGCCGAAGCCGGAUUAGCUAGUUGGUAGGGUAACGGCCUACCAAGGCGACGAUCCGUAGCUGGUCUGAGAGGACGACCAGCCACACUGGAACUGAGACACGGUCCAGACUCCUACGGGAGGCAGCAGUGGGGAAUAUUGGACAAUGGGGGAAACCCUGAUCCAGCGACGCCGCGUGUGUGAAGAAGGCCUGCGGGUUGUAAAGCACUUUUAGUGGGGAUGAAAUGUGCAGGGUUAAUACCUCUGCAUUUUGACCUAACCCACAGAAAAAGCACCGGCUAACUCUGUGCCAGCAGCCGCGGUAAUACAGAGGGUGCAAGCGUUAAUCGGAAUUACUGGGCGUAAAGCGUGCGUAGACGGUUAUGUAAGUCGGGUGUGAAAGCCCCGGGCUCAACCUGGGAAUGCCAUUCGAGACUGCAUAGCUAGGGUGCGGAAGAGGGAAGCGGAAUUUCCGGUGUAGCGGUGAAAUGCGUAGAUAUCGGAAGGAACACCAGUGGCGAAAGCGGCUUCCUGGUCCAGCACCGACGUUCAGGCACGAAAGCGUGGGGAGCAAACAGGAUUAGAUACCCUGGUAGUCCACGCCAUAAACGAUG